AUUGAACGCUGGCGGCAGGCCUAACACAUGCAAGUCGAACGAGUGGCGGACGGGUGAGUAAUGUCUGGGAAACUGCCUGAUGGAGGGGGAUAACUACUGGAAACGGUAGCUAAUACCGCAUACCAUCGGAUGUGCCCAGAUGGGAUUAGCUAGUAGGUGGGGUAAAGGCUCACCUAGGCGACGAUCCCUAGCUGGUCUGAGAGGAUGACCAGCCACACUGUAACUGGGACACGGUCCAGACUCCGACGGGGGGCAGCAGGGGGGAAUAUUGCACAAUGGGCGCAAGCCUGAUGCAGCCAGGCCGCUGGUAUGAAGAAGGCCUUCGGUUUUUAAAGUACUUUCAGCGGGGAGGCGUUACCCGCAGAAGAAGCACCGGCUAACUCCGUGCCAGCCGCCGCGGUAAUUC
rnacentral:rRNA from 1 species